GAUGAACGCUGGCGGCGUGCUUAACACAUGCAAGUCGAACGAAGAUGCCGGAGUGCUUGCACUUUGGCAGACUGAGUGGCGGACGGGUGAGUAACGCGUGGGUAACCUGCCUUAUACAGGGGGAUAACAGUUGGAAACGACUGCUAAUACCGCAUAAGCGCACGGUAUCGCAUGAUACAGUGUGAAAAACUCCGGUGGUAUAAGAUGGACCCGCGUCUGAUUAGCUAGUUGGUGAGGUAACGGCCCACCAAGGCGACGAUCAGUAGCCGGCCUGAGAGGGUGAACGGCCACAUUGGGACUGAGACACGGCCCAAAACUCCUACGGGAGGCAGCAGUGGGGAAUAUUGCACAAUGGGGGAAACCCUGAUGCAGCGACGCCGCGUGAGUGAUGAAGUAUUUCGGUAUGUAAAGCUCUAUCAGCAGGGAAGAUAAUGACGGUACCUGACUAAGAAGCACCGGCUAAAUACGUGCCAGCAGCCG
rnacentral:rRNA from 1 species